UACGUAGGGGGCGAGCGUUGUCCGGAAUUACUGGGCGUAAAGGGUACGCAGGCGGUUUCAUAAGUCAGGUGUAAAAGGCAUUGGCUCAACCAAUGUAAGCAUUUGAAACUGUGAGGCUUGAGUGCAGGAGAGGAAGGUGGAAUUCCCAGUGUAGCGGUGAAAUGCGUAGAUAUUGGGAGGAACACCAGUGGCGAAGGCGGCCACCUGGACAGGUACUGACGCUGAGGUGCGAAAGCGUGGGGAGCAAACAGG
rnacentral:rRNA from 1 species